rnacentral:rRNA from 1 species
GANAANAGUUACCUUCNGGUAGCNAGUAAACUGGCGCACGGGUGNCNNANNUAUAAGCAAUCUACCUAUAGGUUUGGGAUAACGUCGAGAAAUCGGCGCUAAUACCGUAUGAUGCANCGGCACCGCAUGGUGAUGUUGUUAAAGUUCUUGAAACGCCUAUGGAUGAGCUUGUAUCUGAUUAGCUUGUUGGUGAGGUAAUGGCUCACCAAGGCUACCAUCAGUAGCUGGUCUGAGAGGAUGAUCANCCACAUUGGAACUGAGACACGGUCCAGACUCCUACGGGAGGCAGCANUGAGGAAUAUUGGGCAAUGGGCGAAAGCCUGACCCAGCAACGCCGCGUGGAGGAUGAAUGUCGUAGGAUUGUAAACUCCUUUUAGAGGGGACGAAAAAACAGGUUAGUAGCCUGAAUUGACGGUACCCUCAGAAUAAGCCCCGGCUAACUACGUGCCAGCAGCCGCGGUAAUACGUAGGGGGCAAGCGUUGUCCGGAUUUACUGGGUGUAAAGGGCGCGUANGCGGGUUUGUAAGUCAGUGGUGAANUCCUACAGCUUAACUGUAGAACUGCCUUUGAUACUGCAAACCUUGNNUACGGAAGAUAAAGGCGGAAUUCCAGGUGUAGUGGUGAAAUACGUAGAUAUCUGGAAGAACACCAGAGGCGAANGCGGUCUCUUGGGUCCGUUACUAACGCUGAGGCGCGAAAGCGUGGGGAGCAAACAGGAUUNNNACCCUGGUANNNCNCNCCCGUANCNAUGAAUACUANGUGNUGGGGNUNUUAACUCNNUGCCGCANAAACNCAUUAAGUAUUCCACCCU